rnacentral:tRNA from 1 species
AUGAAUGUAGCUCAAUGGUAAAGCACUUGCCUAACAUGUGUGAGGCCCUGAGUCUAAUCUCCAGCACCAUCACACACACACACAAAAAAAAAAAAAAAAAGAAAGAAAGAAAGAAAGAAAGAAAAAAGGAGUAUCUGGGCCAGGGUCUGCGGACAUAACUCAAUGCUUGAGUACCUGCCUAGCAUGAAGCCCUGAGUUCAAUCCCCAGGACUAUUAUG